GAAGGGGUGGCUGAGAGGUUGAAAGCGUGUGCCUGGAAAGCACUUACAGUUCAAACUGUCGGGGGUUCGAAUCCCUCCCUCUUCU
rnacentral:tRNA from 1 species